UCGUUCUGAGAUCUUGUGAAAUUUUCUUGUUGAAAAAGAUUCACCAAAAACACACUUUUUUUUGGCAAAUUUGCAAAUUUUGUUUUUUUUAAGGAAAAGAACUGCAAAGGAAAAAAACAUUGCAGUAUAUUCUGACCCAUCAUGGCGUUUUAUUAAUUUCUUUCAUUUCAUUAAUUAAGAAAAUUAUUUUAUAAGCGCGGUUAAAACCGAGAAGUUUUCACAAAAGAAAAUUACCAGAUUUUAUACGGACGGUCGGAGAAGCGGUCCCAUCAAACCAUUUUCAAUAGCGUUCGUGUGUGGGUUCGGUCAGUGUACCAAAUUUUGUCAAAAUGUCUUGAAAAUUGAGGCUUGUGGGUGGAACACAAGACUACAUGGACAGCGAGAUGUAUAGAUGUAUAACCAAACUUAAAUCUAUUCGAAAAAUGAUUUUGAAUAGAUGGGUAUAAAACAAGUUGAGUCUAUCUGAAAUCCCAUAUCCAUUUCUUUUCGUUUCGCUGCAAGAAAAAUUAAAAAGAUAUAAAAUAUCAUUUGGGCUUUUGAAGAAAACUUUAGAGUCUUAACAAUUGUAGACUGGGGUAAUUGCUGAUGCCAUGGAGAUAUAGAGGCUAGCGCAUAUAUUUAGUCGUUAAUAAAAGGAGUUUCAAACAUUGUUUUAAGGAAUGGUAUUGUCUAUGUGCAUAUCUUUCUUAUUGAUAUCCUACAAUAAAUUAUUGUCUUCAAAAUUUCGCAGAUUUUGAAAAAAUUCGUCGCGCCGGUGAGUUUUUUUUCGAAUAAUUUCAUUCUUCGCCAUUAAGUAAAUGCUAACCAAUUCCUAUUUGGUGACGUCUUUCCGUUUUGUUUCUGUUUUAUGUCUUUUUUUUCGUAGCACGCACGCACAAGCGCCCGCAGGUGUUUCUACUAUAGCGUUAAUGUGCGGAUGUACGUGUUCGUGCUGCUUUCACAUUUAAUACAUCACUAUAUAAGUUGGUAGGAUAAUAUAUUUUGCUACAUUUUUUGCAAAUGCAAACUCUAUAUGUUGAUUGCAACAAAUAUGAAAGAAAAAAGGUGACGUGUCUGCAGAAAAAACAUAACGAAUCAACUUGAUGGUAGAGGAACGAGGACCGUGUCUUAUUAGUUGAAACGGUGCAAGGGCAUAUAAAGUUUGUGCGAAUGUAUGCAUCACCGAAGCACAGAAGAACUUCAGGUUUUUAUUAUGCUCGAUCUAUUCAGAAUCGCUUUUUGCAUCGAUCUAAACUUAUCUGUAUGGCUGCCCGCCUGUCCAUCUUUUGACAAAAUGCGGUACACUUUGUGUAAUAUUCUUGACCCAAGAGGAAACGUUACUGAAAAUGGCUCGGAUCCUACCAAUCUUUCACCGACUUGUCUUAUAAAGUCCUAUUUUAAAAAAUCGAUAUAUGAAAAACUGUAGGAUGGCGAAGUUUAUAGACCCAUUUUUUUAUUAUACCGAUCGAUUCAGAAAGUGAUUCUGAAUAAAAUUGUCCUCUCGUCUGUCCGUUAUGUAUUCUUGGUUUUGAUCCACUUAAGUUCGUGCAAUGUAUAGAAUUUCUUCCUCGCAACUUUGUAUAUCUAAAUUGUCAAGGUUAGACCUAUUUGAAGGAAAUCUGCCUCUUCAUUGGAAAAACUCCAAAAGUUAACUGAAGUGCAUGUGGUCUAUAUCUGAUUUAAGAACGGAAAUCAAAGGGAAAAUUUGUUUUUAAACUUCUUCAAAUAUCACUUAGAAUCUAUUACCCUUGUUCUGAUCUCAGAAAUUGUGAAAAAUGCGGCCUUUUAGAAUGACUAAACUAACAAUGUUCGCUUAUUAUUGUUCAGAAAGCUCAAGCAAGGAGGAUCAAGCUUUCAAACCUUGAAUUCUUAAGUUUUCGAACGUUCGAGCAUUCGAAGUUACAACCCUUCAAAACUUGGAUCUUGAAGUUUUUGAAAGUUCAAUCGUUCGAACUUGUUGUGUAAAAAUGCCACUGAAGUGAAGAAAAUUUAAGUCGAUAUUGUUGAAUAUGCGGAUAAACAAUCCCUUAAGUUAGUCCAUGGGAAAUAGAAAUGCUGUCCAUGAAGCGCUUAGAAGGCCCUCUGCGAGUAAUACUGUGGCGCCCUUGGGCGGUGUCGACUUACGUACAAUAUAAGGAACUGACGUGUAGGCUUAGCUCGGAAUUAAACCGGCAGUGCACAGAAUUGCAAGGGAGACGAAUAUGAACAAAAGGUAGUCUGCUUUAUUGAAAUGUUUCAUCGAAUUACUGCCGCUACACCCAGAUACAUUGAAAAUCUAUGUCGACUGUUUUUACAAAUUGAAAAGAAACUUAUGAUAGAGUCUUCGUCGCCAUACUACAAGUUUUUCGUUCUCUGUUAAAGGGUCACGCCUUAGAUGUUCGCCACGUUGUAAGGCAAGCUCUAGAUAUUCUAACACUGGCUUUGCCUUUACGUAGGGAGGAUGGCAGGACUAUGCUUACACACUGGACGAAGAAGAUAAUUGUUGAAGAGCGUCAUUCCAUGCAGCAACUUUUCCAAAUUUCCUCUUAAUCAUAGCGGUUUGUUGGCGUUUUUUACUAUGUAGUUUGAUUUAUAUCUGUAACGAGGUGUAUUUCCCUGUACGUCACCAAUUAGUUACCCAUUUAGUCAAUUAUACGCAACGCUUUGGUUUCCUUUCUUUGGUCUCCAUCAUAAAAACUAGCUAUGGAUUUAGCUGAUGUUAUUAUCAAAUGGGAAUUGCAACGUAUUAAAGCAGACGAAACUGAAAACAAAAUAUUAUCGGGCAGCAUGGAAGACGACGGAGAUGACAACACUUCUUUAAAAAGGCGUUGCAAUGAAGAUUAUGCGUAUUAAUUGGAUACCUGGGAUGUUUUCAAUUUAUAACAUAUAUAUAUACUGUUAAAUUUUCUUCGACUUUACAGCUAAAUUCAGCUAAAAUAUAUGCCUUUACGUAUGGAGGACGGCAAGUUAUAGAGAGGCUGAUCGUAACAACACCUUGUAGUCAUUCAUGUAUGUAAACAUCAUUUGUGUAACGUUCAAAAUUUAAGUUUUUUACCUUUUAUUGUAUUGGAGCAAUUAGAUAUCAGCAAUUAAGAAAAUAAAUGC